AGACUAUUGAUGGUGUGGAUAAUACCAAAGAAGAGCCUUGAAUCGCUCCCAAGCAUGAUAAAGAUUCUCAGCUGGCUUCUAUUUGAAAUAUACUAUCUCAUUGCGAAGUCU
rfam:Capsicum annuum cultivar Zunla-1 chromosome 1, whole genome shotgun sequence